rnacentral:tRNA from 1 species
UGGGGUGUAGCUCAGUGGUAGAGUGCUUGCCUAGUAAGCAAGUACAAGGCCCUGGGUUCCAUCCCCAGCACUGCAA